ACGUACGGUGCGAUCGUUGUCCGGAAUUACUGGGCGUAAAGAGCUCGUAGGUGGUUUGUCGCAUUGUUCGUGAAAACUCACAGCUUAACUGUGGGCGUGCGGGCGAUACGGGCAGACUAGAGUACUGCAGGGGAGACUGGAAUUCCUGGUGUAGCGGUGGAAUGCGCAGAUAUCAGGAGGAACACCGGUGGCGAAGGCGGGUCUCUGGGCAGUAACUGACGCUGAGGAGCGAAAGCGUGGGGAGCGAACAGGAUUAGAUACCCUGGUAGUCCACGCCGUAAACGGUGGGUACUAGGUGUGGGUUCCUUCCUUGGGAUCCGUGCCGUAGCUAACGCAUUAAGUACCCCGCCUGGGGAGUAUGGCCGCAAGGCUAAAACUCAAAGGAAUUGACGGGGGCCCGCGCAAGCGGCGGAGCGUGUGGAUUAAUUCGAUGCAACGCGAAGAACCUUACCUGGGUUUGACAUGCACAGGACGCCGGGCAGAGAUGUCGGUUCCCUUGUGGCCUGUGUGCAGGUGGUGCAUGGCUGUCGUCAGCUCGUGUCGUGAGAUGUUGGGUUAAGUCCCGCAACGAGCGCAACCCUUGUCCUAUGUUGCCAGCGGGUUAUGCCGGGGACUCGUAGGAGGCUGCCGGGGUCAACUCGGAGGAAGGUGGGGAUGACGUCAAGUCAUCAUGCCCCUUAUGUCCAGGGCUUCACACAUGCUACAAUGGCCGGUACAAAGGGCUGCGAUGCCGUGAGGUGGAGCGAAUCCUUUCAAAGCCGGUCUCAGUUCGGAUCGGGGUCUGCAACUCGACCCC
rnacentral:rRNA from 1 species